rnacentral:rRNA from 1 species
GACGAACGCUGGCGGCGUGCUUAACACAUGCAAGUCGAACGGAAAGGCCCUGCUUUUGUGGGGUGCUCGAGUGGCGAACGGGUGAGUAACACGUGAGUAACCUGCCCUUGACUUUGGGAUAACUUCAGGUAACUGGGGCUAAUACCGGAUAGGAGCUCCUGCUGCAUGGUGGGGGUUGGAAAGUUUCGGCGGUUGGGGAUGGACUGGCGGCUUAUCAGCUUGUUGGUGGGGUAGUGGCUUACCAAGGCUUUGACGGGUAGCCGGCCUGAGAGGGUGACCGGCCACAUUGGGACUGAGAUACGGCCCAGACUCCUACGGGAGGCAGCAGUGGGGAAUAUUGCAGAAUGGGCGGAAGCCUGAGGCAGCAACGCCGCGUGCGGGAUGACGGCCUUCGGGUUGUAAACCGCUUUCGCCUGUGACGAAGCGUGAGUGACGGUAAUGGGUAAAGAAGCACCGGCUAACUACGUG